AUGUUGUAUAACUUGUUUAGUAGGUUAUACAACUUUGUGAACCAACUCUACAUAGGAAGCAAAAUUAUGAAAAAUCUCGUGAAAUAAGAUGUGUUCAAAAUGGUGAAAUACGGCUAUGGUUCAAAAAUCACGUAAAUCGGGUAAAGUCUCGGAGCCGAUAGUAGCGGUCAACCCUAUUUACCGUUAUUAUUUCUUAUAGGGAGCCCUAUUGUCGGAACGUAAAUGUCUCAAAAUUUUUAUAUGGGCAGUUGCGUCUCAUCUACGUAAGAGUUUUUUGUGUGGAAGGUUUGACCAAAUUACGUAAUAUAGGGGGAGAUAUGAGCGUUUUCGUGAAUUUAUAGACUUUAACCGACGAAAAUAUAUGAAAAGUCGUCGGCUAAGGUCAAAAAAUUUCCAAAUUUUUUAGGCGGUAAACCAAAGUUGGAGGAAAAUUUUCAAAGGACUUUAGCCGACGAAAAUAUACGAAAAUUCGUCGGCUAAAGUCGAAAAAUUUUCAAAAUUUUCAAAAUUUUCAACCAAAAUUUUUUGGCGGUCAACCAAAAUUUUCAAAAGAGUUUAGCCGACGAAAAUAAAGAAUUUCGUCGGCUAAAGUUCUUUAUAUAGGCGAAGAUGGAUGGUAAGAAGUCUAUUAUCUGCCAGAUUUUCUUCUCGGCCUAGCUCCGCCGUCAAGCCACCGGAGACCGUCACACUUGUCCCAAAAGCUUCGCCGUCGUCUCUACUUCAUUGCUGGAUAGGUGGUGCAUAAACGUAAAUAGGGUUGACAGCUUCGAUCGGGGCCCAAACAUUGGCGAAUUAAAGUGAUUUUUCUACCGUAGUCGUAUUUUACUAUACCGAUUACAUCCUAUUUCACAAGAUCUUUGAAAAUUUUGCUUCCUCUAUAUAGUUGGUUCAUAAAGUUGUACACUAGUAUAUAACCUACCAAACAAGUUAUACCACAUUAGUAGGUACGUUGUGAUUCCGAUGACUAAAAUUCAGACGCAGUUGUGAAGUGGGUCCCGCCAGUGGUCCGUGACAUUUUUCGAUGAAUUUUUCCGACACUGGAGCUAUUUUCUAUGCAUUUUUAAAGUUUUGAAAUGGUGGAAAAAAAGUAAUACUUUAAUGACAUGGAUAGAUUAGUGACUUACACUACCAGGACAAGCACUUUAGCCGACGAAAAAUUUUCGUCGGCCUGUUAGCUUAAUUCGUCGGCUAAGAUCUGGCUCGUCGGCUAAGAUUUCGUCGGGAAAAUGUCGUCUGUGAUGACUUUAGCCGACGAAAAAAAAAAUUUCAUCGGCUAUAAUCUCGCAGUUUAGCCGACGAAAAACAUGUCGUCGGUUUUUUUCCGAGAGUUUAGCCGACGAAACAAUUAAGAUAUUC
rnacentral:lncRNA from 1 species